AUAUGCACGAGUACCAAACCUCAUCGAAAUUGAAAGAUUUUGAUGGGAUCUUUGAUACACAUUUUACCAUAAGUAACCUUAGAGUGUUUAAAGCAAGACGUUUGUCUAUUGAAUAAUAGAGUAUGGGAUAAUAAAAGAUGAGAGAGGGAAGAUGCAUUCUCUUGUGUGCAAACACACGUGUCUUUUUUUUAGAAUGAUUAAUAGGGACAGUUUGGGCAAUUGAUAUUUCUACACGCGCGGUGAAUUGCGUACACUGUAAAAAGAUCAACUAUGCGCAAACGCUCUUUGCAGAUGAUGUUUUUUUUAUCAAAAACCAAAUGUUAGGGGAUCGAAUAAGAUCAUAUACCCCGUCGUAGUCUUAACUAUAAACAAUGUCCACAAAAGAUGGGAUUGAGGGUAUAAAUAUUCUUUCUUUCAAAAAGGUUCUAAUUUUUCUAUUGUGUACCAAUACUUUGUAUAUAAAUUUGUCUCUUCCCGAAUUUCGUAAGAAAUUAAG
rnacentral:rRNA from 1 species